rnacentral:rRNA from 1 species
GGACCGCUAAACAUGCAGUCGAACGAUGAACCACUUCGGUGGGGAUUAGUGGCGAACGGGUGAGUAACACGUGGGCAAUCUGCCCUUCACUCUGGGACAAGCCCUGGAAACGGGGUCUAAUACCGGAUAUCACUCCUGCAGGCAUCUGCGGGAGUCGAAAGCUCCGGCGGUGAAGGAUGAGCCCGCGGCCUAUCAGCUUGUUGGUGAGGUAAUGGCUCACCAAGGCGACGACGGGUAGCCGGCCUGAGAGGGCGACCGGCCACACUGGGACUGAGACACGGCCCAGACUCCUACGGGAGGCAGCAGUGGGGAAUAUUGCACAAUGGGCGAAAGCCUGAUGCAGCGACGCCGCGUGAGGGAUGACGGCCUUCGGGUUGUAAACCUCUUUCAGCAGGGAAGAAGCGAAAGUGACGGUACCUGCAGAAGAAGCGCCGGCUAACUACGUGCCAGCAGCCGCGGUAAUACGUAGGGCGCAAGCGUUGUCCGGAAUUAUUGGGCGUAAAGAGCUCGUAGGCGGCUUGUCACGUCGGGUGUGAAAGCCCGGGGCUUAACCCCGGCUCUGCAUUCGAUACGGGCUAGCUAGAGUGUGGUAGGGGAGAUCGGAAUUCCUGGUGUAGCGGUGAAAUUGGCAGAUAUCAGGAGGAAAA